UUUCCGUAGGUGAACCUGCGGAAGGAUCAUUACAGUAGUCGCCCGGGUUGCCGCAAGGCCUCCCGGGUAACCUACCACCCUUUGUUUAUUACGCUUUGUUGCUUUGGCAGGCCUGCCCUCGGGCUGCUGGCUCCGGCCGGCGAGCGCUUGCCAGAGGACCUAAACUCUGUUUGUCUAUACUGUCUGAGUACUAUAUAAUAGUUAAAACUUUCAACAACGGAUCUCUUGGUUCUG
rnacentral:misc_RNA from 1 species